GACGAACGCUGGCGGCGUGCUUAACACAUGCAAGUCGAACGGUAAGGCCCUUCGGGGUACACGAGUGGCGAACGGGUGAGUAACACGUGGGUGAUCUGCCCUGCACUUCGGGAUAAGCCGGGGAAACUGGGUCUAAUACCGGAUAGGACUCCGGACUGCAUGGGCGGGGGUGGAAAGCUUUUGCGGUGUGGGAUGGGCCCGCGGCCUAUCAGCUUGUUGGUGGGGUGAGGGCCUACCAAGGCGACGACGGGUAGCCGGCCUGAGAGGGUGACCGGCCACACUGGGACUGAGAUACGGCCCAGACUCCUACGGGAGGCAGCAGUGGGGAAUAUUGCACAAUGGGCGCAAGCCUGAUGCAGCGACGCCGCGUGAGGGAUGACGGCCUUCGGGUUGUAAACCUCUUUCAGCAUCGACGAAGCGAAAGUGACGGUAGGUGCGGAAGAAGGACCGGCCAACUACGUGCCAGCCGCCGCCGUAA
rnacentral:rRNA from 1 species